CUACGGGUCGCUCCAGUAAGGAAUAUUGCGCAAUGGAGGCAACUCUGACGCAGCCAUGCCGCGUGCAGGAAGAAGGCCUUAUGGGUCGUAAACUGCUUUUAUUUAGGAAUAAACCCCCGAACGUGUUCGGGGCUGAAGGUACUAAACGAAUAAGCACCGGCUAACUCCGGGCCAGCAGCCGCGGUAAUACGGAGGGUGCAAGCGUUAUCCGGAUGUAUUGGGUUUAAAGGGUGCGCAGGCGGGCUAUUAAGUCAGUGGUGAAAUCCCGGGGCUCAACUCCGGAACUGCCAUUGAUACUGAUAGUCUUGAGUUUGGUUGAAGUGGGCGGAAUGUAGCAUGUAGCGGUGAAAUGCAUAGAUAUGCUACAGAACACCAAUCGCGAAGGCAGCUCACUAAGCCAAAACUGACGCUCAUGCACGAAAGCGUGGGGAUCAAACAGGAUUAGAUACCCCGGUAGUC
rnacentral:rRNA from 1 species